CAAAAACAUGUUUUUUUGAGUUAUUUUUAAAGUUUAACCUGCCCAAUGAAAAAUUUUUAAUGGCCGCAGUAAUUUGACUGUGCAAAGGUAGCAUAAUAAUUAGUCUUUUAAUUGAAGGCUUGUAUGAAUGGUUGGACGAAGUAUAAUCUGUUUCAUUUAAAUUUAUUAUAGAAUUUUAUAUUUUAGUAAAAAAGCUAAAAUUUUUUUAAAAGACGAGAAGACCCUAUAAAUCUUUAUAAUUUGAUAUUUAUUUUUUUUUUUGAUUAAUUUUAAUUUUAAUAAUUUAAAUUAUUUUAUUGGGGUGAUAUUAAAAUUUAAACAACUUUUAAUUUUUUUUUACAUUAAUUUAUGAUUUAUUGAUCCAUUAAUAAUGAUUAUAAGAAUAAGUUACUUUAGGGAUAACAGCGUAAUUUUUUUGGAGAGUUCUUAUUGAUAAAAAAGUUUGCGACCUCGAUGUUGGAUUAAGAUAUAAUUUUAGGUGUAGUUGCUUAAAUAAUAAGUCUGUUCGACUUUUAAAUUCUUACAUGAUCUGANUUCAAACCGGA
rnacentral:rRNA from 1 species